UCCUGGCAAAAAAAAAUACUUGUUAAAUUGUGUAUUUUAGAACAUAACAGUGUAUGAUACCAGUGAGAUAUAACACUACUGAGCUAUACUGUCAGCAGGGAUACUUUCUGAGAAUUUUUGAAGUACUAGUAAUGGAUAUGUGCCAAUCCUUUCCCCCUUUAUGGAUUUUCCUUCUUUAAUUUCAGUAAAUGCUUUUUAAUACCUGCUGUGUGUGUGUCAGAUGUUGUCUAAGGAGCCAUAAGAAACGGAGAUGCAAUUCCAACCAACUCAUUAAAAGUACUGACUGAGGACAUAUAACAGAGCAAUGAAGCUUUCAAACAGUAACACAGAGCCUGGGGUUCUGCAUAAUGAUUUUGUAUUUCGAAGGCGGAGCAGAACUGGUUGUGAACAUACUAGUCAGAUAUAAUUGAAUACCUUUCAGCUACUUAGUUAUACAUGUACAAACAGACUUCAACCAUACAAACUUAGUUUUGUUUAUGUUUUAGAGUUUAAUACAAUAUUUUAUUUCAUAACAAAGCAUCCUUCUGCUUUUAAAAGUUUAAAAACAAAUUCAAUAGAGCAGAGCUUAUCUAGUAGGCACAAAUGACAAAGAUGUUGAAACCUACAACUCUGAAAUUUCAUUAAGCUAAUCAUCAGCAAUCAACCUGUUAUUUGUUUUAUAGGAAGGUGUUAGAGGGGCAGUCAUUGAGGAUGGAGAUUGAAAGUGUAAGAAGUGAGAAUAUGAUUUCUCUACUCUGAACAUCUUCUGGAUCCUCACUACCACAUCAGGAGCUAUCCCUAAGCCAAGAGAUGUAGGAGUUAGAAAGAAAAAUGUCUGUAAGAAGGUAAGGAAUGAGCCACAAAGAAAUAGUCUUUACCCAUUUUUUCCAUGAACUUGUCAUAGUUUUCACUCCGGUCUACCUUCCAAUUGCCAUCAAACGCCAUGAUGUCAGUUGAGUCAGCCUCCAGGCAAUUAGAGAUUCAGGUCUGUCCUUGGGUGAAAAUUUAUUCUAUUUUCUUAUCUUAGAACCAAAUUCAUACUGUGACGUGGAAGUUUAAAGUUCAGGAGAUCACCUAACUACUCUAUGUCAAGCAAUUUUAAUUCUCUUUCUGUACAUUCCUAAGAUCUUCUGGAAUUCAACUGAAUUAAAACAUGAGAAGCAUCCCUAUUCUGUCUUAAACUACAAUUUGCUGGCAUACUUAUUUCAAGCGUUAGAAUGCAUGUUGUCCAAAGAUCAUUUUUCUAAGUUCAAAGGGCACACUAUGUUGGAGCUAACGUGAUUUAUGGCAUAUAUCAAAUAACAUCUGGGAAAUGAGACUAUGACCUAUCCCUUUUUCACAACAGCAAAUUAUCUUGUAAAGUAAGACUUUAUGGUGAAAUACAGGUGAAAAGUUACAGUUAAUAAAAUUUGGUUUCUAGUAUGUCCUUUUGCAUUGAGUUUACAGUGCCAGGAGUUUGGAUAAAUAUCCUGCCAUUUUGUACAGUGCAUGACACACAAUAACUGCUCAUUGAUUUUUGUCUUGAUCUUGAAUGGUGAUAGGCCACUGAGCAAAAUUUCAAGAGGUACAAAUGUGGCUGGAUAGUGUAAGAACUCCCAAAACAGAGA